rnacentral:misc_RNA from 1 species
AAAGUCGUAACAAGGUUUCCGUAGGUGAACCUGCGGAAGGAUCAUUAAUGAAUAUCUAUGGCGUGGUUGUCGCUGGCGCUUUGGCGCAUGUGCACACCCGCUAUUCAUAUCUUCCCACCUGUGCACUUUAUGUAGAGCUGAGUAACUAUCGCUUUCGAGCGGAUGCAAGGAUUGCUGCGUCGCAAGGCCGGCUCUCUUUGAACUCUCAGUUCUAUGUUCUCAUACACCCCAUUACAAACAGUCAAAGAAUGAAACAAUGGGCUUCGUGCCUAUAAAACUAUAUACAACUUUCAGCAACGGAUCUCUUGGCUCUC